rnacentral:rRNA from 1 species
GACGAACGCUGGCGGCGUGCUUAACACAUGCAAGUCGAACGGAAAUGCCCUGCUUUUGUGGGGUGCUCGAGUGGCGAACGGGUGAGUAACACGUGAGUAACCUGCCCUUGACUUUGGGAUACCUUCAUGAAACUGGGGCUAAUACCGGAUAGGAGCUCCUGCUGCAUGGUGGGGGUUGGAAAGUUUCGGCGGUUGGGGAUGGACUCGCGGCUUAUCAGCUUGUUGAUGGGUUAGUGGCUUACCAAGGCUUCGACGCGUAGCAGGUUUGGAAGGGUGACCGGCACCAGUAGAAAAGUGAUCCGGCGCAGGCUAGUACGGGACGCAGAAAGGAGGAAUAUCUGACCAGGGACGAGAGCGUGAGGCAGGUACGCGGCGGGUGGGAGGAUGGCCUUAGGGUUGAACACCGAUUUCACAUGUAACGACAUGGUAGGGCCGGAAAUAGGUAAAAAGGCACUGGUUAAUAAGGU